CAUUAGAACUUUUCCGCAACCUACUUUUACAACUUUAUUGUUUUGUUUUUCAUAUUACCUUCAUCUAUUUUCUUCAAAUGACAUUAUUUGAUGCCUUAUAACAUUACCAUAUGGGCCGCACGGUGGCGUAGCGGUUGGCAUGUUGGCCACACAGUCAGGAGAUCUGGAAGAUUGGGUUCGUAUCUCCGCCUGGGCGUCUCUGUGUAGUUUGCACGUUCUCCCCGUGCAUGCGUGGGUUUUCUACGGGCACUCCGGCUUCCAAAAGCAUACAUGUGAGGUUAACUGGAGACUCUAAAUCAGGGGUGUCCACACCUUUUCCAGCGAGGGCCACAUAAUGAAAAACGAAGGGAUGCAACUUCGCCACUUUGGUAUUUAGCAAAGCAACACAUGGAGAUAUGCUAAGAAGCUAAGUCAGCAAAACAAGACAUUCACACACGUCUAGCGCAACCUGCAGCGGAAAAAAAGGGUGCUGCAGCUAUGAAGCCAGCAGAGGGCGCCGUCUCACGAGUCAAUCCGCUCAACGUUUUCCAGCAGGAAGAGUAUGUGGCUCUCGGUGGAAAAAGUAUGGACACCCCUGGUUCAGAGUAUCAAAACCGCGGGCGGUCUCGGACGGUAACCCUCCAAAAGUCCGACGGAAGCAGUCCAACAUUUUGCUGACAAUCUUUCCAGAAGAAUGAAAAAGAGGAUAUCAACUCCAUACUUCUCACUUU